rnacentral:rRNA from 1 species
GCUAAUACCGGAUAACAACAGAUGAUGCCUAUCAACNGUUUAAAAGAAUGGUUCUGCUAUCACUCUUGGAUGGACCUGCGGUGCAUUAGCUAGUUGGUAGGGUAACGGCCUACCAAGGCGAUGAUGCAUAGCCGAGUUGAGAGACUGAUCGGCCACAUUGGGACUGAGACACGGCCCAAACUCCUACGGGAGGCAGCAGCC